UUCCUGAGUACCAUAAUAUAUUUUUGCAUCUCUUAUUCUUAUAGAAUGCUUUGAAAAUAUUACUACUUUGCUUUUGUCAAUACUGACCUCAAGACUAAGAUAUUGAAAAUAAAGCUCCAAUUUUUUGAGUGCUACAUUAAGAUCUAACACAACAUUUGAUAAAUUAAGUCCUGAACUAUACACUACUAGAUCAUCAGCAAAUUGGAGGGACAUUUAAGGAUAGAAGAAUGGAUGAUAAUUGUUCUAAAUCAACAUUAUUAAAUGCUCCCACAACAUCCAAAAAAACAGACUCUCACAAGCAGAACAACCACAUCGAAAUCUAAAUUGAUUAUUAGAUUACUGUGUGGAGUAUGGAAUUGAAGAAGAUUCAGUUUCCGACACUACCAUG